rnacentral:sRNA from 1 species
GGCUGUGAGAACAAUCUGCGAGGCGCAUCUGUGGUCCUGCUAGUUGCCAGGUGUCGGAGACUUGCGUGCCAUCUCUUCGCCUCAUGCCAUUUGCGUCCCUCCCGAGGCUGUGGGCUGCGUCCAAGAGAAUGACCUUCCUAGACAGGAGAGGGCAGCUCUCCAGGGAAAGAUACAGGAGGAACUUCCUCCUUCUGCCGGAACCCACAACUACGGGUUUAAAAUGCUGUGUGCGCACAUGCACGUGCACAGUGAGACCACUGUCGGUGUUCUCUGGUGGUGU